GAACGCUGGCGGCAUGCCUAACACAUGCAAGUCGAACGGCAGCACAGCAGUAGCAAUACUGUGGGUGGCGAGUGGCGGACGGGUGAGGAAUACGUCGGAAUCUGCCCAGUCGUGGGGGAUAACUAGCCGAAAGGUUAGCUAAUACCGCAUACGACCGAGAGGUGAAAGCGGGGACCGCAAGGCCUCGCGCGAUUGGAUGAGCCGACGUCGGAUUAGCUAGUUGGCGGGGUAAAGGCCCACCAAGGCGACGAUCCGUAGCUGGUCUGAGAGGAUGAUCAGCCACACUGGAACUGAGACACGGUCCAGACUCCUACGGGAGGCAGCAGUGGGGAAUAUUGGACAAUGGGCGCAAGCCUGAUCCAGCAAUGCCGCGUGUGUGAAGAAGGCCUUCGGGUUGUAAAGCACUUUAUCAGGAACGAAAAGCGUUGGAUUAAUACUCUGACGUGCUGACGGUACCUGAGGAAUAAGCACCGGCUAACUUCGUG
rnacentral:rRNA from 1 species